rnacentral:rRNA from 1 species
GACGAACGCUGGCGGCGUGCUUAACACAUGCAAGUCGAACGGUCUUAAUCUAACUGAAAUUUUCGGAUGGAAGUUUAAUUAAGGUAGUGGCGAACGGGUGAGUAACGCGUGGGUAACCUGCCCCUAUCACCGGGAUAACAGCUGGAAACGGCUGCUAAUACCGGAUAAUCUCGCAAAUAGGCAUCUAUUUACGAGUAAAAGAGGCCUCUAUUUAUAAGCUCCUGGAUAAGGAUGGACCCGCGUCUGAUUAGCUAGUUGGUAGGGUAACGGCCUACCAAGGCGACGAUCAGUAACCGGCCUGAGAGGGUGGUCGGUCACACUGGGACUGAGAUACGGCCCAGACUCCUACGGGAGGCAGCAGUGAGGAAUCUUCCGCAAUGGGCGAAAGCCUGACGGAGCAACGCCGCGUGAAUGAAGAAGGCCUUCGGGUCGUAAAGUUCUGUCUUUUGGGAAGAAGUCUCUAAGGGUAAAUAAUCCAUAGAGGUGACGGUACCAGAGGAGGAAGCUCCGGCUAACUACGUG